AGCAAUUCAAGUUCAUCCCUCUAUAGGUAAUACCUUCCUGCAAGUUGUUCUUACAGAUGACGCCGUUGACUACAAUAUACUGUUGAGCUUACAAAGACAGGCAAGCAAGGAAGAACAUGACCUCUGGACGAAACAAGAUGCAGAACCUGAUGAUGACAGAAUGUGGAGGAAAGGUAAAAGAUUGUGUUUGUCACGAGUAUUGUACCCCAUGAUGGCCCAGAUUGCUCAUGGACCUACACAUCUAUCCAAGAUGCACAUGUACAGCAUAAGUAAAUACCUACUGGGUAGCACCCCGAUUUACUGUUGUAGCAGAUAAACACACCCAAGCUUGCAUGAUUUGUGCUAGAAACAAUCCAGGACAGGCUGUCAAAACACCAAGUAAGCACACCAAGGCCACUUUAUCCGCUUCAAAGACUGCAGAUAUUCAACUGCCUAAGGUAGGAGUGUAUGAAUAUGUGUUGGUGUGCAUUGAUCUCUUUUCAGGUUGGCCUGAGGCCUACCCAGUGUCGAAAGCCACAACGAAGGUCACAGCAAGUAAGCUUCUGAAAGAACUGGUAUAUAGAUAUGGAGUACCUGAAGUGAUUGAAAAUGACAGAGGUAGCCAUUUCACUGGGGAAAUAAUGCAAGAAAUUAUAAAAGCCUUAGGGAUCAGUCAGGCCUUCCACACCCCCUAUUAACCCCCAGAGUAGAGGGAAAGUAGAAAGGGCAAAUGGCACCUUAAAAAACAAGAUUGCAAAAGCCAUGCAAGAAACAGUGAAGCCCUGGACUGAAUGCCUUCCCCUAGCACUCUUUUCUAUGAGAUUCAGACCCAAUUCUAGACAUGGCCCAUCCCCUUUUGAGAUACUGUUAGGAUGUGCCCCAAAGACAGGCCUCUAUUUUCCCCAGACCCUCCAGAUGCAGCAUGGUAGUAUGACUGCCUAUGUACAGGCCCUACACCAAAGAUUAGGCAGGGUGCAUAAACAAGUCUUUGAUUCUAUUCCAGAUCCAGACUCUGAUUCUGCAACUCACAAACUGCAGCCUGGUGAUUGG